UACGUAGGUGGCAAGCGUUGUCCGGAUUUAUUGGGUUUAAAGGGUGCGUAGGCGGCCCUGUAAGUCAGUGCUGAAAUAUCCCGGCUUAACCGGGAGGGUGGCAUUGAUACUGUAGGACUUGAGUAAAGUUGAGGUUGGCGGAAUUGACGGUGUAGCGGUGAAAUGCUUAGAUAUCGUCAAGAACACCUAUUGCGAAGGCAGCUAACUAAGCUUUAACUGACGCUGAGGCACGAAAGUGUGGGGAUCAAACAGG
rnacentral:rRNA from 1 species